AUUGAACGCUGGCGGCAUGCCUUACACAUGCAAGUCGAACGGUAACAGGUCUUCGGAUGCUGACGAGUGGCGAACGGGUGAGUAAUACAUCGGAACGUGCCUAGUAGUGGGGGAUAACUACUCGAAAGAGUGGCUAAUACCGCAUGAGAUCUACGGAUGAAAGCAGGGCAUCGCAAGACCUUGUGCUACUAGAGCGGCCGAUGGCAGAUUAGGUAGUUUGUGGGAUAAAAGCUUACCACGCCGACGAUCUGUAGCUGGUCUGAGAGGACGAUCAGCCACACUGGGACUGAGACACGGCCCAGACUCCUACGGGAGGCAGCAGUGGGGAAUUUUGGACAAUGGGCGAAAGCCUGAUCCAGCAAUGCCGCGUGCAGGAUGAAGGCCUUCGGGUUGUAAACUGCUUUUGUACGGAACGAAAAGCCCCGGGUUAAUACCCUGGGGUCAUGACGGUACCGUAAGAAUAAGCACCGGCUAACUACGUGCCAGCAGCCGCCGUAA
rnacentral:rRNA from 1 species